rnacentral:rRNA from 1 species
CGGAGGGGCUAGCGUUGUUCGGAAUUACUGGGCGUAAAGCGCGCGUAGGCGGACCUGCAAGUCGGGGGUGGAAAGACCCGAGGCUCAGCCUCGGAACUGCCUUCGAUACUGCGGGUCUCGAGUCCGGGAGAGGUGAGUGGAAUUCCUAGUGUAGAGGUGAAAUUCGUAGAUAUUAGGAAGAACACCAGUGGCGAAGGCGGCUCACUGGCCCGGUACUGACGCUGAGGCGCGAAAGCGUGGGGAGCAAACAGGAUU